AACGAACGCUGACGGCGUGCCUAAUACAUGCAAGUCGAGCGGACAGAAGGGAGCUUGCUCCCGGAAGUUAGCGGCGGACGGGUGAGUAACACGUGGGCAACCUACCCUGUAGAUCGGGAUAACAUCGAGAAAUCGGUGCUAAUACCGGAUAAUCAUUUGAAGUGCAUGCUUCGAAUGUAAAAGAUGGCUCCGGCUAUCACUACGGGAUGGGCCCGCGGCGCAUUAGCUAGUUGGUAAGGUAAUGGCUUACCAAGGCAACGAUGCGUAGCCGACCUGAGAGGGUGAUCGGCAACACUGGGACUGAGACACGGCCCAGACUCCUACGGGAGGCAGCAGUAGGGAAUCUUCCGCAAUGGACGAAAGUCUGACGGAGCAACGCCGCGUGAGUGAUGAAGGUUUUCGGAUCGUAAAGCUCUGUUGUUAGGGAAGAACAAGUGCCAUUUGAAUAAGGCGGCACCUUGACGGUACCUAACCAGAAAGCCACGGCUAACUACGUGCCAGCCGCCGCCGUAAUAC
rnacentral:rRNA from 1 species